CAUCCUCAUCUGAAGGUGGAAGUGGAAGACUCACUUCCAGGAAGCUAGGGUGAGGGUCUUAAUCCCACACUCAAAGUGAUUCACCUACUCCAGCAAGGUAACACCUCCUAAUGGUGCCACUUCUUAGGCCAAGCAUAUUCAAACCAUGAUAGGUGCCUAAGCUCAGCCCUUCUUUGCACUGAUUCUUGAGUCCUGCUGCCCUCCUGGUCACCAACAGCACUAAUCACAGGCUUGUGAUCACUGAUCCACGGGUCAUACUGAUCCACUGAGUAUGUGUAAGUAUCAAGUGGGUUGCUAUAACAAAAACAAACAAGACAUUCAUACCUUGGCCCCAGAAUCUCUCCAUUGGCAACUGUGGGCAGCAACAUUUUCACUUCUAGGGGAUCUGAACAUGCAUGGAAGAUGGAGAGCCACUGACCUAGAUUUCUAGUCCUGGUGAGAAGCACUGCUUUGUUCGCUUUAACAGAUGCAUGGAUGUUCAUGCUCUAUUCCAGCCUUCAAGAUUAGAUCUACAGUGAAUUCUGGGCUGUAUCCUCCCCUGGCCAGCCUGAAACCUGCUUGCUCAGGGGUGGAGCUUGCUGCUCAAUCAUCCUGCCACGCUCACUGCUGGAGCCCGCCGCUUUCCUGUUCCGGAGCCAUCACGUGUUCACCUGCAACCUUACUCCAAGAUUAUUUGUCGGGAAUCGGGCCCCUCCCCCUCCUUAAUAACUGAGUGCCAGAAAUAAAAAAUUGAGCUUUAAUCA